AUUGAAAUAAAUGCAGUCCCCAAGAAUAGAAUAUUCAGUAAGUAAUAUAUUUUCUUUUUGUUACAGUAUCUGAUGUGCCACAAGACAAUCUUCAAGCGUUGCCAUUGUAGAAGUUGAUAGGAAAUCAUUGUCGUGUCUGUAGAUACAAAUAUGGCACGAGGUUGGGAAGAACUAUCCAUGAAAAUAGGAAAAGUGAUUCCCCGUCCUACACCAUCGACGAUCCUGCGGGUAUUGAAAAACGUAACGUCAUCAACGAGGUCGCACCAACCGAUGCAUAGUAACUUGUGGAAGUUGUCCCUACACCGUUAGCAUUUCCCGUCCCGGAUGUCCCACCACGGGAUGUUACGCAGGGACACCUCUACUAUGCUUAUCUACAGCCUUUCCAAUGAAGAUGCGGAGAUAGUGUUUACUCUGAGGUCGCUAGCUCAAGCCAGUAUUAUUUUUGUUGUGGCUCUGGCGAUUAUAAUUACCAAUGUCCUCAUUAUUGCAACUUUAAUCAAUUUCAGAGGACCCUCGGAGGUUAUAAAUUAUUACUUGCUUUCCUUAGCCGUAGCCGAUUUACUAUGUGGCCUUCUAGUUGUACCGUUAUCAGUGUAUCCAGCAGUAGUGAACGACUGGGUGUACGGGGAAGUCAUCUGCCGACUGAUAGGCUACGUGGAAGUAACCCUUUGGGCCGUCACUGUGUACACCUUUAUGUGGAUUAGUGUAGAUCGAUAUUUGGCGGUCAGAAAACCGUUGCGGUACGAGACGCUCCAAACGAAAACCAGGUGCCAAUGUUGGAUGGCCUUUACCUGGAUAUCCGCUGCAAUGCUGUGCUGUCCUCCCCUCCUCGGUUUCACGGAGUCCUCGUUCGACCCCGACGCUUACAUCUGCAUGCUCAACUGGGGCAGCAUGGCUGCCUACAGCAUCACCCUCUCCAUCCUCAUCUUAGGCCCCAGCCUGAUCACGAUCGUCUACACCUACACCUACAUAUUCAGCAUGCUACGAAAAAUUAGAAGCGGUUACCCCUUUCACGACAAGGAGUACGCCACUGCACUUUCGGAGAACUUGUCGAAUCCCAGCCACUUGAUGUCGUUCACUUUGGUGGUGACGUUCUGGCUGUCGUGGAUUCCGUAUAUUGGAUUAAAACUGUACGAGUACUUUACUGCUCCGUUGGAAAAUCAACAGGUCCUCCACUUCGGUAUCGUAUGGUUGGGUUUUCUCAACUCCUUCUGGAAAUCUGUGAUCCUGAUCACCAUGAGUCCGCAGUUCAGGCUGGCCCUUAGAAUCUUCUGCAUGACGAUCUGCUGCAGAUAUAAGGGCCGCCUUCAAGCCGAGCUCAUCGGAAUGGACGACGACUGACUACUCCGAUGCUUUCCCGCCCUACACGCAAACUUUCCUAUUACGGGCAUUGCUGUGAGAGACUAUGAAUAUUUUAUAGGUAAAAUAAGAAGAUAUUGGUGCCAAUUUUCGCGACAUGGACAUUUUGAGCGAUGACUUGUUUCGGAAAUAUGUAAAUGUGAUUAUUUUUUAGUAUGAAUAGAUGGACGCGCGUCUUUUAUUGAAUCGUUCAAGUCAAUUAUAAUAGGUGUAGGUUUAACACUAUGCCCCGUUGCUCUAGCGGGACGAAUCGAAUGAUUUUUAACCCCUCUUAAACCGACAACCUUAACGUAAGCCUUCGUCAGAAUUUCCCACUCACUUCAUGCUUGAGGAUGAACUUUGAGAACGCUUUCAAAAAAUCAUGAGAAGCCUUAUUAGGUAUUUUAAAGAGUUAGCUGUUUCGUGUAGCUUUAUUAAAAGAUCUUAGCAAGACGAAUAUUCAGUGCUCAAAGUAAUCAGAACAUUUUGUUUCACAUCAUAAAUAAAAAUGUAUAAAACGUGUAUUAGUAAAGGAACCAAAAAUAACGACACAAUAAUACAAAAGUCUAAUUAAGGUAAUGCGGGUGUUCAAUCAUCUCACUUACAGAAUUCAACAAGCCAUUAAUAUUAAUAUUAUUUGUAAGCUUUGAGAAAAACGAAAAAUCUGCAGAAAAAAGUAAAGAGAACAUCUUGACAAACAGUUGAAAAUAAUAGGAGAAUCGUACAUAAACAAGAAAAUAAGAAAUUUCUACCAAGAAAUAAAAAAAUCCCGAGGAACUGAAAAGAGUACAACAAGUUAUUACUGGAGAAGUAAAGACGGUGUGCUUUUAGGAGAAACAACAGGAAAAUUAAACAGAUGGGUAAAGUAUUUUGAAGAACUAUUGAAUGUAAAUAAACAAGCAGAACCACAGGAAAUAAAACAAAAGCAAAAAGAUAGCACAGACCAAAAACAGGAAGAAGAACUAACACUACAAGAAGUAAAAGAAGCAAUAUUUGAGAAAAAAAAAUAAAAAAAGGGCAAGAGAAAGCGGAAUUUCGGCAGAGAUUUUUAAAACAGGUGGAGAAAAGCUGCAAGAAAAAAUUUUCCGACUAAUAUUAACAGUCUGGCAAAAAGAGGAAAUGCCGCAACAAUGGAACAAUGCACUUAUCUGUCCAAUCUACAAAAAGGUGAUGAAAUAAAUUUCAAAAAUUAUAGAGGAAUAUCGCUAUAUUAGAAGUGUCCUUCAAAAUACUUGCCAAAAUCAUCCGAAAUAGAUUUAAAAAGGAGGUAAACAAGAUCAUUUAAGAAUAUCAAGGAAAAACUCAAUACAUGGUAAUGAAAGGAGGUAUAACGAAAGAGGAUAACUAUAUAAAAAUUAAAGAAGAGGAUGACUCUAAAUUUAAGGAAGUAUCAGAAUUCGAAUACCUGUGAGUGACUGUAACUAAUAUUGGAAGGGAAGGAAAAGAAAUAGAUAAAGGAUUAUUGAAGGGAAGUCGAGCUGUUGAUUCCUAAAACACGGUAUUAAAAGCAAAAAAUGAAUCAAGAAAUGCGAAAAUCAGAAUUAUAUGAAACGAUAGUACGAUCCACAGUGUUGUAUGCGAUUUAAACGUGGGUAAUGAAUCAACAAGAGGAGAAAAUAUACAAUAUGGGAAAGAAAGGUCUGAGAAAUAUUUUUGGAGGUAUACAGAUAGCGGAGAAAACCUGGAGGAGACGAACAAAUGAAGAAGUAAUGAGUAUGUGGGAGACCAAAAAUAAGAGCCAAAAGAGCUAGAUCGCUGGGACAAGUAGAAUCGUGAAACGAAUAUUGAAUGACAGAGAAUUGGAAAAAAGGAGAAGGACACGAGGACGUCCAAGGAGGAGAUGGUUAAAGGCUGCAGUGAGUGAUUUAGUAGAAAUCGGGGCGAAGGACUGGAGAAAGAGUGCAGAGAACCGAAAAUAAUGGAGGAGAAAUAUCAUCCAGAAUUUGGAAGCCGUAAAGCUACAAGGUCUACCUUCGUAGAGUAACAUAUACAAUUAUCGGCAAAACAAAAUGAAGAAACUGGAAAUCUCACCUAAAACUGUAAAAAAUAGAAAAAAAGAAGUAAUUCGCAUUACAAAAUGGAUAAAAAAAAAGGAUAAUAAACUGCAUCAUGCGAGAGAUCAUACAGGAUUAAAAGAUACCUAUUUUCAGACAAAUCUAAAAACUAAUAAAAUGUUUUAUUAUUUUGAGCAUUAUAUUUGUAACAUAACUACUGUAGUAAGCAUUUAACAUAUUUAAGCUAAUCUUAUAUAGAGCUGAUGCUCAUUAUUAUCACGAUUGAGCCUUUGCUUCAUCACAAUCGUAGCAUGGACAACAUUAUGGGAUUCUUGCGAAUGUUUACGUUAGGGCUCUAUAAGAUCUCUGUUAUUGUUACAGUGAAAAAAUUUUAACGUAUUCAUUAUUUGUUAUGACAUUCCUCUAGAUGGACUCUAAGACAUAACACAGCAAAUCUGUCAAGUAUUUAAAUAUUGAUUUAUUAAACGUUAAACAUUUUUUUAAAACUGUUGAUUUAUGGUAUCCCGGUUUUUCUGAAAAAUACACAAGUUUCAAAAUAAGUUAUUGUUAUUAAAUGAUGCUACUAUUCAGUUUAGAAGACCUUUUCAAAAGAAAAUUGUUUUGAAAACUACCUUCUUUUUUUAAGUUAAACACAAAACAAAAGAUUAUUUAUAGCUGGGAUCCCACGGAGAGUGAUGUGGCGCUCUUCGCCAGUUUACGCCGGCAAAGUGAAAUAGAAAAUUAGUCCAUGUGGUGAGACCGCUCCCGUCUGGAAAACAUUUCUAAUUCGGUUUCUCUGCGGAUUCAUAUUCAAAAAUGUCCCCUUUAAACAAAUCUGAAGGGUGCCGCACGGAACUUUGGGCAGAAAUUGUUUAAACAUUUUUUUUUAAACAAAUACAUAAGAUCGCCUUUUAUUGCUCAAAAAAAUAUAUUUUAAAAUUUCUUGGGUCAUUCUAAACAAGAAAGGUAGCUUGUGAUUUUUCUCAAAAAUUGACAGUUUUCGAGUUAUAGGCGAUUUAAAAUCUAAAAAAUGCGAAAAUCCCCAUUUUCGAGGCUUAAAAACUCAUAUUUAAAUUAGUAUUUUUAAGGGUGCCAAUAAUUUGGAUUAAAGUUUAUACAUUCCUUUUCAAGAUUCCGAAGAGUGAUCGGGUCUAACUUCAAUUUAGACCGUAGUUUUUUAAUUGUUAAUUAUGCGUGUCCAUCCGGUUUUUUGCCGUUGCGGCGCGCACCAUUUUCAAAAAUCUCCUAUUUUCCUCCAAAAAAUAUUUUUUCUAGAUUCUUUGGGACAUUCUAAAUAAAAUAAGUUUCUUUACAUUUUUCUCAAAAGUUAAUAGUUUUAAAGUUAUAAGCGAUUUAAAAUCCGAAAAAUUACAAAAAAAACACAUUUUCGCAUUUUAUAUCGCUUAUAACUUUAAAACUAGUAACUUUUGAGAAAAAUGUCAAGAAACUUACUUUAUUUAGAAUGUCCUUAAGAAUCUAGAAAAAUAUUUUUCGGAGGAAAAUAGGAUAUUUUUGAAAAUAUCGGAAUCUUGAAAAGGAAUGUUUAAACUUUAAUCCAAGUUAUUGGCACGCUUAAAAAUACUAAUUUAAAUAUGAGCUUGUAAGCGUCGAAAAUGCGUAUUUUCGCAUUUUUUAGAUUUUAAAUCGCCUAUAACUCGAAAAAUGUCAAUUUUUGAGAAAAAUCACAAGAUACCUUUCUUGUUUAGAAUGACCCAAAAAACCUAAAAAUUUAUUUUUUGGAGCAAUAAAAGGUGAUCUUAUGUAUUUGUUUAAAAAAAUUGUUUAAACAAUUUCUGCUCAAAAAUUCUGUCCGGCACCCUUCAGAUUUGUUUAAUGGGGACAUUUUUGAAUAUGAAUCCGCAGAGAAACCGAAUUAGAAAUAUUUUUCAGACAGGGCUGUCUCACCACAUGGACUAAAUAGAUAAUAGUGAAAAGAAAAAUAUUUACUUAAAUAAAUUCGGUCGUAGCUUUCCGAUGGACCGUGUCCCCCUGAGUAUCGAAGGUACACUAACCAGUGUUGGCGGUAGAAAUUUUAGAAAGUUGGUUAAUUCAUAUAAUGAUAAAAAGUCCAACACAACAUCGUUAGACCACUCCAUAGAUCAGGUCAAAAUCUUAAAGGGAGUGAGACAGGGAUGCAUCAUUUCAUCGCUAAUAUUCAAUCUGUACUUAGAGCACAUUCUUGAAGAGUCUCUAAAAUAUAUUGAUGAAGGCAUCUCAAUAAAUGGAGUCAAGCUCAAUAACCUGCGGUAUGCAGAUGAUACAAUAGUGUUUUCCAAUAUCAUAGAAGAGCUUGUUACAGCAAAAUAUAGAUAGAGGGAUGAUACUGAAUAAAUAAAGUGAAAACUAUUUUAUCUAUUAAAUUAUGAAUAUAUAUUAUAAUAUAAAUUACAAAAUUCAGUUAAUCUCUCUUUGCCUUAUCUCAGGGAUUUAUUAUGGGUUAGUAGAAGGUGAUCCGGUUAUUUCUGAGCAUUAAAUCAACCCAUAGCUUUAAAGAUUUAUUUAAUAUAAACUAUAAAAUAUAACAUAAAAUGGGGAAUUGAAUUAAAAAUAUAAGAACAAUGUAAUGACUAUUGAAUGGAAUGUAAUGACUAUUGAAAUAGAAAAUAUUGUUAAGACCUAAACAGACCCUAACUUAUGACAUUUAUACACCCUAAUACCUAGAAAUAUGGAGAUUAUAAAUAUAUUCGACUAUAAUUGAUCAAUAAAGUACACCCUGGGAGUCAAAAGUGCCUACGUUCAGCAAGAAUCAGAUAUCAGUAACCAUACUAUAUUAAUAAUUAUUAUUACCAAAUAUAAUGUGAACAAUUUAUACCAUGAAGUGUCAAAUACCUACUCAUAUAAGUCUACCUGUGGAAUUAACUAAGUACAAUUAAUAUAAUACCCUGUAAUUACUCUGUUAAAUUAAUACCCUCGGAUAGCGCUAUGUUCAGGUGUACAAUGUGGGUAACAGGAAGGACUUAGAUCUGAACAAAGUGGUAGGUAUAGACACAGUAGAGGAUAUAAAAUGUAACAGGUUAUGUUGCUACUGUUACCGAUUUAUCUCUGUUCUUGCUUACGGUCUCGUGGUGGGUGUUACUGUGGUGGUGACUCUGGUUAUAACUAAAUGCUGGUUGCUAGCUACUAGGUACUAUGUCUGAGUGUUGAACAGUCACUAGUCCCAAGGUGUGUCCUCAAGAAGUUGGCCUACCAAGGAGAGAAAAUACACUGUCAGUAAGGACUAUACGAGACAGUAGAAAUACGAGAGGCUAUAAGCCUAAUAAUAGCUUUAAAGAUAUUUACCUGAGGUAUUAUGUGGCCAACAGAGAGGGGUUGUUGAGGUUAUAUCUCGUAACUAACUACAAUUUCUACCGGCACUGCAAAAUAUACAGCCCCAAAUCCGUCACUGGCAAAAACUCUUCCAGACGAUAAGUUUUCAUAAACUUGGGCCGUAUUUUCUCACCGAUGGAAAAAGGAUUAGCAAACUUUCACCCUUUGCAAUCCGACCUCGUUCCAAAACAAUCGAAGAUAGACCGGAUGUCAUCCGUAUUUGCUUAAUGUCAUUCGAUCUGAGUUCCAACUGAGAUGAACCAUUCAAGCACGGAACCACUGAUUGAUUCAGUUACCUGACAAGAACCUAUGAACAACCUGUGAAUGAGAGAAAAAAACCAACUAUUUCAUAGGAACUACCAUAGGCGUAACCAGGGAGUUUUAAAAUAUUUAAAUAUCUUUCAGUUUAACAUAUAUAAAUGAAUUGUGAAGGUUUAAAAAAACGUAACAAGCUGCAAAACUGAAUGAACAAAAUAACGGAAACAAGUAGAACAUAAUGAGAAUUGAACGUGUCUCACAAUACAACUACUUGGGAACUAUAAUCAAUGAGUCGUGGGACAAUACCCAAGAGAUUAAAUGUCGCAUAAGAAAGGCCAAAAGUGCAUUCUUGACUAUGAACUCUGUGUUCAAGAGCUAUGACCUUACCAUAGAAACAAAAAUAAAGAGUAGAAACGUGGACAUUGAAGGCGGAAGCUUUAUCAAAACUUUAGGUUUUUGAGCUAUUGUUGUACAGAGAGAUCCUGAAGAUACCAUGGACAGACAAAGUCACGAAUGAAGAAGUGCUACGGAGGAUGAACACAACCGCAGGUUUGGUCAACAUCGUGAAGGGCCGUAGGCUGCAGUACUUGGGAUAUAUAAUAAUGAGAAAUCAAGGUAGAUAAGACCUACUUCAAUUCGUUUUGCCAGAUAAAAUUGAAAGGCAAAAAGACCUCAGGACGAAGAAGAAUAUCCUGGCUUGCUAACCUGAGGGCAUGGUAUAGAAAGACCUCAGCACAACUAUUCCGUAUAGCAACCAACAAAAUCAUCAUAGCCAGAAUGAUCGCUAACGUUCGGAACGGACAGGCACCCUAAGAAGAACAACUGACCACCAGCCCCUAGCCGAGUCGGAAGGGUUAGAGUGGUACGUACCUAUUCUGUAUCAGCUUCUGACUUCCUUUGAACCGUGAGGGUUCGCUUCUAGGCCAAUGAUAGUAACUCAAAAUUUAGUUUUAUGGAAAUAUCGCUAUAUAUUUCACGAUGCGUUAAACCUCGUUUUUGGUUUUAUCUUUUUCUAUUAUAUAUUUUCUAUUUUUCUUGGCGCGCCACACCACGUUCUAUAGGAUCCCGACUUAUCAUUGAUAAGUCGUAAUUACCUCUUAUCCUGACAACAAGGCCAAUUUUUGCUACAUUCAUGUUGUUAGUAUUUUGUUUCCAGGAUCACACUGGGAAUCAAAGACCAUGUAGAUGAAUCUUGGCAGAAUUUUGCUGGUUAUUGCCUUAAGUCAGCUUAAGUUUUAACGUAGAGUUUAAACAAGGCUUAACACCAAGUAGUAUAUUUAAUCAAAAAGUACCCAAACACUUAUUUCAUAGUCAUUUUCAAAAAAUUUAAUGUGUAACGUUCUUUUUCGCAUGAAGUUGUAGACUUCGUUUCGUAGGUUGUAAAAAUAUUAAUAUAAUGUCAAAAAGUUAUUACGUAUUAUGCCUAUAGCUGUCAUUACAAUCAAACUUUUUCAUACUUUUAGGAAAAAGUGCAAAAUUGGGUUCACACUCACCAAAAAAUAAGCUUAAUAUUGCUAAGAAUACUUUCAUCAUUUAAAUUUUUGUCAAAUGUCAAAUGUCAGAUGUCAAAUGGUUUGUUACAAACGUCAUUGCGUGUCAUUAAGUAGAUUUAAGACUAGUAGCUUAGUCUACAGAACAUUUUAGACGGAAAAAACCUGUACAAUAAUUCAGUCGUUCGGAAGAAAAGUGACGCAAUUCAAAAAAUGCAUAAUUCCAGUUUUCUUGUUAAAUUGACUACAAAAAUUCUAUACUUUUACCAGGAAAAGUGUCACAUAGAUGUUUACUUCCAACUUCGUAAAAUGGCGGUAGUGUCAUUGGUGAGAGUUCCACAUAUGGAACACUGACACUUUUGAGUUAUGCUCUGGCGUUCAACGUAAACGUGUCGUUAUUUAUUACUAAAACCGUUGUAUUUUAAGAAGUAUCCUUGGUAUUUGUUAUUAAUGUUGAAAAAAGUGACCAAUAUUUUAAAAGAAAAGUGUCAUAAAUCAAAAUGUUUAUGAUUUUUCCUUUGUUAUAUCAGAUAUUGUUCGCCCGCUAUAACUUUUCCCAUGCGUCACGAUUCAUAUUCAAACAAAUUAAGUCAAAAUAUAAAGUAAAACGUACGUCGAUGUGUGUAGUAAAUAUUAUACAGUAUACAAAAUGUAUAUACACAUCGACGUUCGUUUCACUCUAUGUUUUGACUUAAUUUGUUUGAAAAUGAAUCGUGAAGCAUGAGAAAAGUUAUAGCGGACGAACAAUAUCAUAGUUUUUUCGCUUUGCUUCUUACACAAUUAGAAACAUUCACUUAUCCCUUAGCUUUUAAUUUUUAAAUGUUAGCAGUUGCCGUUUAAUUAAACUUACAGUUAAAUUAAGAUCUAAAAAAUCCAUUUUUGUUUCUUCUGAAAAAAAUUGUUUUUGAGCUGUGACACUUUUGUUCCGGAUGAGCGAAUUGUUCCAAAAACUUUUCAUUCUUUAAAAAUGAGUUCCCAAAUAAGAAUGAUUUGAUAUAUUUGUAUGAAUUUCCGAAUAUUGUAUUUUUAUGGUUAUAUAGUUUUUAAUGGAUAAGCACUAUAAUUUGUAGGAAACUAUACUUCUGGAAAAAAAAUUAGACACUUGAAUUUUG